CGACCGCUGGCGGCAUGCCUACCACAUGCAAGUCGAACGAGACCUUCGGGUCUAGUGGCGCACGGGUGCGUACCGCGUGGGAAUCUACCCUCAGGUUCGGAAUAACUCAGAGAAAUUUGAGCUAAUACCGGAUGAUGACGUAAGUCCAAAGAUUUAUCGCCUGAGGAUGAGCCCGCUUAGGAUUAGGUAGUUGGUGAGGUAAAGGCUCACCAAGCCGACGAUCCUUAGCUGGUCUGAGAGGAUGAUCAGCCACACUGGGACUGAGACACGGCCCAGACUCCUACGGGAGGCAGCAGUGGGGAAUAUUGGACAAUGGGCGAAAGCCUGAUCCAGCAAUGCCGCGUGAGUGAUGAAGGCCUUAGGGUUGUAAAGCUCUUUUACCCGGGAUGAUAAUGACAGUACCGGGAGAAUAAGCUCCGGCUAACUCCGUG
rnacentral:rRNA from 1 species